CGGAACGAUCUGCUAGUUGCACAAACAUUUUAGUUGGUCUUAAUUCUCCCAUUUCAAGUCUCUUGCAUAUGGAUAAAGGCAUAACACUAAUACCGGCUCCUAAAUCGCAUAAGGCUUUGUCAAUGACAAAUUUUCCUAUGUGACAGGGUAUAGAGAAACUACCUGGGUCUUUAAGUUUAGGAGGCAUAUUCUGGAUUAUAGCGCUACAUUCAGCGGUGAGUGUAACGGUUUCGCUAUCUUCAAGUUUCCUUUUAUUAGAAAGAAUUUCUUUU
rnacentral:lncRNA from 1 species